CAGAAACACAAGAAGAUUUUUAUUUAGUAUUAUUUAUGUUUGCAAGUCAAUUGUAUUUUUUAUGUUUUAGGUCCUAGUAGUUUAUUAGGCUAUUAAUAUUUUAA